GCCCCCGUAGCUCAAUGGAUAGAGCACCGGCCUUCUAAGCCGAUGGUUGUGCGUUCGAGUCGCACCGGGGGUA
rnacentral:tRNA from 1 species